GGGCGUUUGACGGUACCGUAAGAAUAAGGACCGGCUAACUCCGUGCCAGCAGCCGCGGUAAUACGGAGGGUCCGAGCGUUAUCCGGAAUCAUUGGGUUUAAAGGGUCCGUAGGCGGGCCUGUAAGUCAGGGGUGAAAGUUUGUGGCUCAACCAUAAAAUUGCCUUUGAUACUGCAGGUCUUGAGUCAUGGUGGGGUUGCCGGAACAUGUGGUGUAGCGGUGAAAUGCAUAGAUAUCACAUAGAACACCGAUCGCGAAGGCAGGUGACCAACCAUGUACUGACGCUGAUGGACGAAAGCGUGGGUAGCGAACGGGAUUAGAUACCCCGGUAGUCCACGCCGUAAACGAUGGAUACUAGCUGUGGGGACUUCGGUCUCCGUGGCCAAGCGAAAGUGAUAAGUAUCCCACCUGGGGAGUACGUUCGCAAGAAUGAAACUCAAAGGAAUUGACGGGGGCCCGCACAAGCGGUGGAGCAUGUGGUUUAAUUCGAUGAUACGCGAGGAACCUUACCAGGGCUUAAAUGCAGGCUGCAUGGGGUAGAGAUACCCCUUUCUUCGGACCGCCUGCAAGGUGCUGCAUGGUUGUCGUCAGCUCGUGCCGUGAGGUGUCAGGUUAAGUCCUAUAACGAGCGCAACCCCUACCGUUAGUUGCCAGCAUGUCAAGAUGGGGACUCUAACGGGACUGCCGGUGCAAACCGUGAGGAAGGUGGGGACGACGUCAAAUCAUCACGGCCCUUACGUCCUGGGCUACACACGUGCUACAAUGGCCGGUACAGAGGGAAGCCACCCCGCAAGGGGGCGCGGAUCUACAAAACCGGUCACAGUUCGGAUCGGGGUCUGCAACUCGACCCCGUGAAGCUGGAAUCGCUAGUAAUCGGAUAUCAGCCAUGAUCCGGUGAAAUACGUUCC
rnacentral:rRNA from 1 species